GGCUGCCGCCCUUCCCCCACCCACGCCGGCGGGAGCCGCCCGUUCGCGCUGCCAGCAGCUUCCGCCUGCUACGGUCCUGGCAAGCACCUCGGGAUCCCAUUCCUUCACAGGGACCCUAGCCAGUUAAAGCUGAUACAUUCCUGUGGGUCAACUAUGCAACUAACUCAGAUUUUGAGCAAACAAAGCUCUCAAGUUGGUGAUCCUCAGGAGUCUCUGCAUUAGUUGGACAGCUCUUCUGGAAUUAUCUUCUAAGUCAACUGUGGGUUGGGUAGGUGGCUCUGCUGAUUUUUCGCUGGACUUCCACAUUUGGGACGAGUUGGCUGUCAUCAGCUCUAGAAAGGGUGUGGCCGUUUUACAUUGGCUGUUUUCCUCACAUUCCUCAAGCAGGUACUGUAAUAAAGAACUGGAGAAAUACAGUCAGAUGGGAAGUAGCCCUUGCUGUCAAGGAGCUUGCCAUCUAAUGGGGGAGACAGGCAAGUAAACCAAAGACUACACAGUGCAGUAUGGUAAGUGCCAUGAUUUUGAUGUGACAGGGCACAGUGGACGACCUUCCAAAUCAAAGCAAGUAACUAGGGGUUGACAAUGGUAAGUAUCAUAGUUGAAGUAUCCUUGAACAAGGUUUCAGGAAGAAGAAGAAGGGAAUUUCAUGCAGGGAAACAGCCAAAGCUCAGUGAGUCAAAAUAUCACAGCAUUCUUGGUAAGCCCAAUUGUUUUUUCUGUUUUGCUAUUUUGGUGGAGAGAAAGGAACACAUAAAGGAAUAACAUGAGAGAAGGCUAUUUGGGGAAGUGUAGUAGUUAAGGUUCUGGCUCAAACAACAACUGCAGCUCAUAAAGUUGACUUUAGUGGAAGGAUACUGGGGUAUCUCAUGGAAUCUUGGGAACUGUUGAAUAACCAGGGAAACUCUGGGAAACUCACUGGUAGGAAUCCAUAAACUGUCCUCCUGGUGGGCUGUAAACAACUCACCCUCUAUGCAUCUCACAUCAAAAUUCCAGUUUCUUGGGAAAACAAGUCUGUUUGCCCAAUUUGGGUCAUAUUUCCACGUCCAUGUUACUCAGGCAUGAUUCAUCUGCAAGUUAUGUGUAUAGAUAUUUUGCUACUGUUCCACCCUUACGCUGUGCUGGGGAGGGAGGUGUCACUGUGAGCUGUGUCGGUGCCUUAAGAGAUAUCUGUUGUGUCUUAUUACUUGGUUGCUUUUCCCCACAUGUACAAUGACAAAAAUGCCUUCAACCUAUUUGAUCCAGCCGUUCCAGUACAACUCCUAUACUUGCCAUCUUUCCAAGCCCAAAGGUACAUCCAGCUGAUGGAAGGAGCAUCUUGGUGUUAAUAUUCUUUUAGUCAUGGUCUCUGAAAGUAAAAUGUCUAUUCUUCUAAUUCUGGCACAAUCUUAUCUAGCUAUAGUUCCUCAUGGUCCUGCACUCCAUGGACUAAAUUGUAAGUAUAAUUACUACCAAUGUACUCUAUAAAUAACUUUUGGGGCCAGGGUGGCAAUAGUUGCUAGAGAGAAAAAAAAAAAAAAGGAAGGAGAAGAAAACAGUGAUAGUUCUUAUUUUAAAAGGAAAAAAAGAGGCAGGAGGCUCUCUUGAGGCCAGGAGUUUAAGACCAGCCUAGGCAGCAUUUCAAGACCCUGUCUCUACUAAAAAGUAAAAAAAAAAUUUAGUCAGGCAUGGUGGCAUGCACCUGUAGUCGUAGCUACUCAGGAGACUGAGGUGGGAGGAUUGAUUGAGCUCAGGAGUUUGAGGCUGCAGUGAGCAAUCAUCAUGCCAUUGCACUCCAGCCUGGGCAUCAGAGCAAGACCUUGUCUUUUAGGAAAAAAAGGCAGGGAAGAGGAAUAGGUAAUUUUUCAGUGUUCAGACAUUCCAGCAAUAUGUGUGGAGUACUCAUUCUCACUACAGUUUAUGAGGCCAUAGCUAGUAUGUAUGACUACCCAUCCAAGUUUCCCUGCUUACAGUUACUAUUCCAACUGAUUGGGGGGCUUUUCCUAAUAGAGUGAUUUAAGCCUUCAUUUUUAGACAUCUAAGCCCUUGGUGAUCAUCAGCAUAAAAUGUGACAAAUUAAACAAAAGCAAGACAGCACAUCAGAGAACAACUCUGAGGUGGAAUGAUUGGGAACCAAUGAAUAGUUGUUCAGUAAAUGGUUUAUAUUUUACAGAUGAUGAAACUGAAACACAAAAAAUUUAGAUUAACUCUUAGGUGACAAAGCCAGGAUUGAAGCUCAUGCGGUCUGGCUCCAGAACAACUCUUCUUCAUAGUUACGUUAUACUGCCCCUGCAUUGUUGGUAUUGAAAGUAAGUGUAGGCCCUGGGCCUUCUAUACCUGGGAUUAAGUCACAUAUUCCUCUUCCUCUUCAAAUUUUACUAGUCUUGUGAGCGAGAAAAAGCUACUGAAUUUUUCUAAGCUCAGUCUUUUUCAUUUAUGAAAUAGAGAUAUCCUUUGUGGGCCGGUUGCCGUGGCUCACGCCUGUAAUCCCAGCACUUUGGGAGGCCGAGGUGGGUGGAUCACGAGGUCAGGAGAUCAAGAUCAGUUGAAACCCCCUCUCUACUAAAAAUACAAAAAAUUAGCCAGAUGUGGUGGCGGACGCCUGUAGUCCCAGCUACUCGGG
rnacentral:lncRNA from 1 species